rnacentral:rRNA from 1 species
UACGUAGGGUGCGAGCGUUGUCCGGAAUUAUUGGGCGUAAAGGGCUCGUAGGCGGUUUGUCGCGUCGGGAGUGAAAACUCAGGGCUUAACCCUGAGCCUGCUUCCGAUACGGGCAGACUAGAGGUAUGCAGGGGAGAACGGAAUUCCUGGUGUAGCGGUGAAAUGCGCAGAUAAUCAGGAGGAACACCGAUGGCGAAGGCAGCAAACUGGUCGUCAACUGACGCUGAGGCGCGAAAGCGUGGGUAGCAAACAGGA